GGGAGUGUAGCCCAACGGCAGAGGCAACAGACUCAAAAUUUGUUCAGUAUGAGUUCGAAUCUCAUUACUCCCA
rnacentral:tRNA from 1 species